rnacentral:rRNA from 1 species
UACGUAGGGACCAAGCGUUGUUCGGAUUUACUGGGCGUAAAGGGCGCGUAGGUCGCUUAACAAGUCACUUGUGAAUCUCCGGGCUUAACUCGGAACGGCCAAGUGAAACUGUCAAGCUAGAGUGCAGAAGGGGCAAUCGGAAUUCUUGGUGUAGCGGUGAAAUGCGUAGAUAUCAAGAGGAACACCUGAGGUGAAGACGGGUUGCUGGGCUGACACUGACGUGAGGCGCGAAAGCCAGGGGAGCAAACGGG